rnacentral:lncRNA from 1 species
AAAAAUUUGAAAUGGGAUACCAUGAAAAGUGAAAUAAGAGGCGCAACCGUAAAAUAUAUCAAAUAUAAAAACAUGAAAUUGCGGGAAAGAGAGUCAAUUUAAAAAAACGACAAGACGAAAUUCAUAAAACUCUCUCUCGUACAUAUUUAGAUAAAGAUAUAAAUACACUUUUGAUUGAAUUAGAUAUUGUUAAAGACGAUUUAGAGCAAAUAGUAAACAAUCAAACAAGGGGGGCUAUUAUACGAUCACAUGCCGAGCACUGCGAAGGCAAUGAAAGAAAUUCAAAAUAUUUCUUAUCAUUAGAAAAACGCAAUAAUAAAAAUAAAUGUAUUAACAAAUUAGUUGUAAACGACAUUGAAAUUUUGUCACAAG